UUCUACUAAUUCUUAGAUCUAUUAAUUUCUUAUGUUUACAUUGAAGCAUUGAAAUUAAAUAUUUGUCGCUUUUGCAUUCUUACUUUGAUUUAUGCAAUGUUAUCUUAUAUCUUUCGAUUAGAAAGGUGUCUUGCAGAAAGGACGAUUGAGAGUGAUGGGUGUCGACACAUGGUGCUAUUAGUUAUAUUAUUUGAUUGAGAGUUGUUUUGGGACCAAGUUUUGUCUCAUUUUUCUAUUGAUUAUUAUUCUUCUCUUUAAUUUCUCCACUCAUUUUAUUUAUAGCCUUUACAACUCUCUCUCCUUUCUUUAAUAAUGGUUGUUGACACGAGGUUUUGUGUUGUUGAAAACAUUGGGUGCUUAGACAUGGUACUUUGAUUGCGACCUGAGUGAGAGUUGUAUUGGGACCAGGUUUGUUUUGCUCUCCAAGUACAAAACAGUUCCCAAGAUUCGCAUUAUGAAGUGUACCUUUGGUUGUUGUAUGCGAAGAGCUCAAAAUUUAGAAAUUGUUCCUUUUGAUCCAAAAAUCAAAAAAACUUUUCAAAGACUUCGAAGGAAAAAUAAAAGAGUUUAUGCUCCAAGUAAAACAAUGGUUGAUCAACAAGAGGAAAAGACCAAGCCUUUGAGGGAUUAUGUUGUCCCAUAAGUACAAAAUCUCCACUUUAGUAUCCAAAGACCUUUUAUUCAAGCCAACAAUUCUGAAAUUAAGCCAUCAAUCAAUCAAAUGAUUCAGAUUGAUGUUCGGUUUGGAGGUUUGCCUAAUGAUGAUCUAAAUGCUCAUAUUGUAAAUUUCUUGAAAAUCUGCGAUACAUUCAAGGCUAAUGGUGUUACUGAUGAUGCCAUAAGAUUGAGGCUUUUCCCUUUUUCAUUGA